rnacentral:rRNA from 1 species
AACGAACGCUGGCGGCAUGCCUAACACAUGCAAGUCGAACGAGACCUUCGGGUCUAGUGGCGCACGGGUGCGUAACGCGUGGGAACCUGCCCUUAGGUUCGGAAUAACUCCCCGAAAGGGGUGCUAAUACCGGAUAAUGUCUUCGGACCAAAGAUUUAUCGCCUUUGGAUGGGCCCGCGUUGGAUUAGCUAGUUGGUAGGGUAAAAGCCUACCAAGGCGACGAUCCAUAGCUGGUCUGAGAGGAUGAUCAGCCACACUGGGACUGAGACACGGCCCAGACUCCUGGGGGAGGGGGGAGUGGGGAAUAUAGAAAAAGGGCGUAAGUCCAGAACCACCAAGGCCGGGUGAGUGAUGAAGGCGUGAGGGUUGAAAAGCUCUUUUACCCGGGAUGAUAAUGACGGUACCGGAAGAAUAAGCCCCGGCUAACUCCGUG